CACAAACGACUCUCGGCAACGGAUAUCUCGGCUCUCGCAUCGAUGAAGAACGUAGCGAAAUGCGAUACUUGGUGUGAAUUGCAGAAUCCCGUGAACCAUCGAGUCUUUGAACGCAAGUUGCGCCCGAAGCCAUUAGGCUGAGGGCACGCCUGCCUGGGUGUCACGCA
rnacentral:rRNA from 1 species